CCUCAAAGAACAAAGGAACUUAAAGCACAUGAGGUCUUAAAGGCAAUUAUAAGUGCUUUUUUUGUUGUUAUUUUGUUUUGCUUUUAUUCUGAAACAUGUUAAGAAGUCAAUGAGAGAUUUUAGUAGAGACCUGACAUGACUGUAUUUGAAUUUAACAGAGCUGAGACUGAAUCACAUUGUAGAGGGACUGAGAUAAAAAUUAGGGACAACUCCCAAAAUUAGUGCUGUGCCCAGAUCAAUGGAUUACAGAAGUCCCUCAGCAUGUUUCCUCAAAUGUAACCAUCUGCAAUUUAUCUUGAGUUCAGCAGCUGGUAUCCCAUCUCAGUCCCUAGGACAAAUGUAUGUGUCUCUGAUUACAUGUACAUUUCCAUGUAAGUUGUCAGCAUGCCAUGAAAUAGAACACCCUGGACCACCCUUACUAUAGUCACUCUGGGUCUCCUUGCUUCUUAACCCACACACACUAUGAUUUCUCAGCUUCCUGAUCUUGUAAAGAACUCUUGGUUUCAGCAUCCAGAUUUAUUUUCUUUGAUGAUAAUGAUGGUUUCUUGAACUUAUCUGUUCAAUUCUGGGAACCCAAUUAAAAUGUUCACACUUUGGGCUCGAGAGGUGACUCAGUAGCUGCUGUGGAAGCAUGAGGAUAAUCCAAUGUAGGAUUAUCAUAUCCACUUGGAAGCCAUUUACAGUGUCCUCAUCUCCCAGGGUUGGAUGAAAGGGAGAGGCCGGUGGAUAUGGGACAGCUGGCCAGACAGCAUAAGGAAACAGUGAAAUCUAGUUCAGAGGAAGACCCAGUUUCAACAAAGAAGAUGGCAAGUGGUAAUGGAUGACACUGGAUGUGGACCUUUAGUCUCCAGAUGUGCCCAGGGAAACUCUGAGCAUCAUGGGAACGGUAUCUGCGUGUUUUCUCUGCUGUCCAUGCUGUCCCUGCUACAGAAAAAUUCUCUUUAGAAUGAACUCCCAUUAAGCAAUCGGAGGGUGGAGACAAAACGAAUGUUGUGCAAUUGAAUGGAUUUGAAGAAACUGUUCUAGGAUCUCAGCUCUCUUCCAGUACAAGCAAGGGGCUGCUGAUUCUUUGCCUUUAGGCCAAAUCUGAGCCUGCUGGAUAGUGAUGGAUACCUCAAAGGAAGAUUCUUCUGACUGCUGCCAUCGAGUGGGCUAUUUGCCCUGAACAAUCAGUUGGAGAGGUCUCAAGUCCCCACGUACCACUUCCCCCAAUUACAAGGAGUUAGAUAACUAGACAUAUGGGAAGCAAAUGGUACUUUUGAGUCCUUAUAUCUUGGACCAUGGCUGGUGGAACUACUCAGACUGGCAACCUGCUCAUGCUAGUUGAUGCAGAGAAAAUAUUAUCUUUCCUUCUUAGCCAUUCUUGCCCCCAUUCUAACUUCUUUUUCCUUCUCAGCAUCUCUACUUUCCUACGUGUUAUAAACUCAACAUACAUCUUG